GACGAACGCUGGCGGCGUGCUUAACACAUGCAAGUCGAACGGAAAGGCCCUGCUUUUGUGGGGUGCUCGAGUUGCGAACGGGUGAGUAACACGUGAGUAACCUGCCCUUGACUUUGGGAUAACUUCAGGAAACUGGGGCUAAUACCGGAUAGGAGCUCCUGCUGCAUGGUGGGGGUUGGAAAGUUUCGGCGGUUGGGGAUGGACUCGCGGCUUAUCAGCUUGUUGGUGGGGUAGUGGCUUACCAAGGCUUUGACGGGUAGCCGGCCUGAGAGGGUGACCGGCCACAUUGGGACUGAGAUACGGCCCAGACUCCUACGGGAGGCAGCAGUGGGGAAUAUUGCACAAUGGGCGGAAGCCUGAUGCAGCAACGCCGCGUGCGGGAUGACGGCCUUCGGGUUGUAAACCGCUUUCGCCUGUGACGAAGCGUGAGUGACGGUAAUGGGUAAAGAAGCACCGGCUAACUACGUGCCAGCAGCCGCGGUGAUACGUAGGGUGCGAGCGUUGUCCGGAUUUAUUGGGCGUAAAGGGCUCGUAGGUGGUUGAUCGCGUCGGAAGUGUAAUCUUGGGGCUUAACCCUGAGCGUGCUUUCGAUACGGGUUGACUUGAGGAAGGUAGGGGAGAAUGGAAUUCCUGGUGGAGCGGUGGAAUGCGCAGAUAUCAGGAGGAACACCAGUGGCGAAGGCGGUUCUCUGGGCCUUUCCUGACGCUGAGGAGCGAAAGCGUGGGGAGCGAACAGGCUUAGAUACCCUGGUAGUCCACGCUGUAAACGGUGGGUACUAGGUGUGGGGUCCAUUCCACGGGUUCCGUGCCGUAGCUAACGCUUUAAGUACCCCGCCUGGGGAGUACGGCCGCAAGGCUAAAACUCAAAGGAAUUGACGGGGCCCCGCACAAGCGGCGGAGCAUGCGGAUUAAUUCGAUGCAACGCGUAGAACCUUACCUGGGUUUGACAUGGAUCGGGAGUGCUCAGAGAUGGGUGUGCCUCUUUUGGGGUCGGUUCACAGGUGGUGCAUGCCUGUCGUCAGCUCGUGUCGUGAGAUGUUGGGUUAAGUCCCGCAACGAGCGCAACCCUUGUUCACUGUUGCCAGCACGUUAUGGUGGGGACUCAGUGGAGACCGCCGGGGUCAACUCGGAGGAAGGUGGGGAUGACGUCAAGUCAUCAUGCCCCUUAUGUCCAGGGCUUCACGCAUGCUACAAUGGCUGGUACAGAGAGUGGCGAGCCUGUGAGGGUGAGCGAAUCUCGGAAAGCCGGUCUCAGUUCGGAUUGGGGUCUGCAACCCGACCUCAUGAAGUCGGAGUCGCUAGUAAUCGCAGAUCAGCAACGCUGCGGUGAAUACGUUCCCGGG
rnacentral:rRNA from 1 species